GAAAUGCCUCCAUGAGAUCCAGCUGUAAGGCAUCUUCUCAAUUAGUGAUCAAUGGGAAGAGCCCAUGGUGAGUGGUGCUUCCCUGGGCUGGUGGUC
ensembl:miRNA